GAUGAACGCUGACAGAAUGCUUAACACAUGCAAGUCCACUUGAACUUCGGUUUGGGUGGCGGACGGGUGAGUAACGCGUAAAGAACUUGCCUCACAGAUAGGGACAACAUUUGGAAACGAAUGCUAAUACCUGAUAUUAUGGUUAUAUGGCAUCGUAUAAUUAUGAAAGCUAUAUGCGCUGUGAGAGAGCUUUGCGUCCCAUUAGCUAGUUGGAGAGGUAACGGCUCACCAAGGCGAUGAUGGGUAGCCGGCCUGAGAGGGUGAUCGGCCACAAGGGGACUGAGACACGGCCCUUACUCCUACGGGAGGCAGCAGUGGGGAAUAUUGGACAAUGGACCAAGAGUCUGAUCCAGCAAUUCUGUGUGCACGAUGAAGUUUUUCGGAAUGUAAAGUGCUUUCAGUUGGGAAGAAAAAAAUGACGGUACCAACAGAAGAAGUGACGGCUAAAUACGUG
rnacentral:rRNA from 1 species